CACGUAGGGUGCGAGCGUUGUCCGGAAUUAUUGGGCGUAAAGAGCUCGUAGGCGGUGUGUCGCGUCGGCCGUGAAAACCUGCAGCUUAACUGUGGGCUUGCGGUCGAUACGGGCAUCACUGGAGUUCGGCAGGGGAGACUGGAAUUCCUGGUGUAGCGGUGAAAUGCGCAGAUAUCAGGAGGAACACCGGUGGCGAAGGCGGUUCUCUGGGCAUGUCCUGACGGCUGAGGAAGCGAAAGCCCAGGGGAGCAAACGGG
rnacentral:rRNA from 1 species